rnacentral:rRNA from 1 species
AGUAGUCACGUAGUUUGACUCCUGGGCUCAAGGAACGAACGCUGGCGGCAUGCCUAACACAUGCAAGUCGAACGAGACCUUCGGGUCUAGUGGCGCACGGGUGCGUAACACGUGGGAAUUUGCCUCGGGGUAUGGAAUAACUCAGGGAAACUUGAGCUAAUACCAUAUAAUGUCUUCGGACCAAAGAUUUAUCGCCCUGAGAUAAGCCCGCGUAGGAUUAGCUAGUUGGUGGGGUAAAGGCUCACCAAGGCGACGAUCCAUAGCUGGUCUGAGAGGAUGAUCAGCCACACUGGAACUGAGACACGGUCCAGACUCCUACGGGAGGCAACAGUAGGGGAAUUUUCCGCAAUGGGCGAAAGCCUGACGGAGCAAUACCGCGUGAGGGAUGACUGCCUAUGGGUUGUAAACCUCUUUUUUCAGGGAGGAAUAAAUGACGUGUACCUGAAGAAUAAGCAUCGGCUAACUCCGUG